GCGAGCCUGAUUCAGUGAUUGUCUCCCUUCUCUUGCUUCUCUUCUCAAAAUGGAAGGCUCUGAUGGCAGCACUGGGAGUAGUGGGUCAUCCUCAAAAUGUUCAUUGUCACCUCCUUUAGAGUCGAAAGACCUUCCUUGUACUAGACGAGCCAUGUUUCUCAAAAUACAAUGUAUAUAGAUCUAAAUUUUUCCAAAGUAUUUCAAACACAACAACUUUGCAAGUUUUGUACAUCAGCUUAAUGAGACAUAUUCUUACAAUGAUCCAAUCACUGAACUGAUUGACUGUCUCUUUGUUAAGUAUGACUUCAACGCAGCACAAGACAGACUAAACGAGUGUGAAAAGCUGUUGGCCUCUCCAGAUCUCCUUCCAAUUAAUUCUUUUCCAUCAUCAUCAUCAUCAGUACCUCCUGGUGGGGCAGUUGGUGACGGAGACUUUCUAGAAGAACCCUUAACAUCCUCGCUGCCUCCAGUUUCUAUUCCAAUACUUAGGUACCAGUAUCUCAGUCUCAGCCCACUGAUGUGCAUGAACCACGACUGAAAACAAACCCAGAAAAUGUUCUAUCUGAAAUAACAAGCAGAUUGAGACUUUGAAGUCACAAGUUCUAAUAAAAUAAGCUUUGAUCCACUUCUACUAACUGAAGUACAUGAACAACUUUUAUUGCACUGUACAUGGUCCAAUUGCAUUAACUACACAUGUGCAUGUAUUUCUUUUCUUUGAUUUGUGAUUAUGAAACAAUGUUCAUGAUUUAACAACU